GAGGAGGUGCGGGAGGCCCGUGCCACCCACAGCCUCCCUCUCGCGCAGAGGCCGGGCUCUCCAGAGCAGAGGACCCGCAGGCUUAUGCCGCUGCAUCUAGCUCCGUCUCUCCUGCCAAAUGGCUGCACGCUGCCGGGAAAACAGAUAAGAGAUGAAGUUAUCAACCUGGUACCUGAGCAGCAGUGAAGAACUGCCAAAGAGGAAGUGCCACCACAAACAACAACUUGAGGAGAUAAAUGACAAUGUGAUCAGUUUAUUCUCUAAACAUACUAUUUGUUAAAAUUAACUCUCAGAUCUAUCAAAGAGGAGCAGGCGCCGUGACACAAGUAUUCAUUAACCUCCCACAGUGCCUGUUGAGUCAUCCGUUCUAGUUGAAAAAAAAAUAAAAUAAAAUAAGAACAAAAAUCAAUAUACCUACUCAAAUCCUGCCCUGGUCAGCAGACACCCCAAAUCACAGCCCACCACAGGUGCCAUUAUUGCAGUUCUUAGUUUUAUUCCAGGCUCUCAUACUUCAGCAAGACUGUUGUCCAGAUAGGAAUGAGAAGUUGAGAUUCUUUUCCUAGUCUCCAGGUAAGCCUCAAUCCCGAAGCAACAAAACCAUUGAUGACAGCAGGAUUAAACCCAGGCAGGUGACCUAAACUCGUUGAUCUUGUGGAGGGCAAAAAUAAUAAAUUAAGGAGAGUUGGUAGUGCCUCUGAGAACUGCCAAAGGACACAGACGCCAACACAGACAAGGAACAGAAUAUGUAGCAGCAGGAAGAUAGUGGCCUAAAAAGAACAGAUUAAAGUGCCCUUAAAUAAAUUAGAGGUCUUCAAAUUGACUGGGCACAAUGAAUUUCAACCCAGGAUUCUUAAAUAGCCACUUACGCAAUCUCUGAAUCUCGACAGUCACCUCUGAGCAUGCAAGAAGAGAAGAUGAGGUGCCAAAAGGCUGGAAAAGAGCAAACAUAAUACCUUGCUCUGCAGAGGGGGUAAAGCAGAGCUAAGGAGUUGCCAGCCAGUCAAUUUGUCUUCAAUCCUCAGAAAAACACCAGAACAAGUAAUCAAACUAUUUGUUAGUGCCUAGAAGAUAACAUUGAAAUGAAUAGCUGCUAGUAUGGAUUUGUAGAGAAUAAAUCCUGUCAAAUCAAUUUAAUUUCCUUCUGCCAUAGGGCAACAGGCCUUGUGAACAGAAGCAAAGCAAGAGAUGUCACGUUUCUUGAUUUACUAAAGCUUUUGGUGCUGUCUCACAUGUCACUCUCAUAUGCACACCAACAAAACACAGUCACGAUGAAAUGGUUGUGAGACAGACACAAAGCGGUUGGACACGCAGAGAAAGUUAUCAUUUGCCCACAGUGAAAGCAA